CCCCGGCUCGGAGGGAAGGCGCCGCUCCGGAGCUGCGCAUGAGCGGGGCGGCACGGAGGGAAGGCGCCGCGCCGGGCACGUGACUCGGUGCGGCCGAGAGUCCGACGUGGCGGCCGGCGCCGUUCUUGGGUCCCCCGCCUUGCGCGAGCCUGUCAGUCUGGCCGUCCUCCAGGGGUGACCUAAUCGGACUCGGCGUGGGCCUUUGAGUCGCCCCAGCGAACUUGUCGUGCUCCUGCGGACAGGCCCAGACAGUUCACGGAUAGGGCGGCUCCAGCCGAGCUUUCGCAGCUACACUCUAGGCGCUGAGCUUCAGAAAACGAACGAGCGAACAAAAAGACAUGCUCCCACGGAACUAAGAAGCUAGUGAUGGACACAGACCAAGAGAAGCAAAAUUGAGAGAAUGCUGGGCGGGAAAGAAGUAGAAAACCACAGAACAUAACGGGACAGGGACUGGCCUGGUGACUUUUCCUUCCUUUGGUUUUGGAAUAGGAAAGCGCCACCCUCAUAGACUCCUGGAGGACUGGGGAUCCGUUUAACCCUUUAUAUACCAGGUCUCUAGCCGUUAUCCGCCACGGAGUUGACUCCUUAGUACAUACUUGCUAAAAUGAGUCUGCAUAAAUUAAACAGGCCAACCUGAUUCUUUCACGUGGAUUUGAAAGUACUUUCCACUGUGUUACCUAACUGGACCACCACAAAUGCCAUCUUCGAAGAGCCUUGUUUCUUUGUUUGAGAUACAUUCUAGCUAUGUAGUCCAGGUUAGCCUCAAACCUUCGAUUCCCCUCAAUGUCCAAUCACUGAGAUUACAUGUAUGUACUACACCAUGCCUGUUUUAGAAAGUAUGCCUUACACUAAUUUUUUUCAAUAAAGAAUUUUCUGUGUCUUUGAGAAGGCUCUUGAAGCCCAUUGAAGUUAUUUUCUAAGACACAUAAAAUCCAAAAAAAAAAAAAAAAAGGUUAUGUUACUGUUAGCAUUAAGACCUUUAGGCACUCAUUUUCCAAAGGAAUCCUAGGUCCACUUUUUAUGAGGCAGACAGUAUUACAGGAGUAAUUUUAAGAAAAGUAGAUGAGCAUGGAACACUGGUUUCUGACAGUCCCGGUAUACAAACUUAGCCCCAACAACGAUGCAAUUCUAGCUGCAUAUCCCGUUGUUACUCUUGAUUCCUGCUUCUAGGCUGGGACGACUUUCACAAAACAAGAGUUUCUAUAUUAUCAGGUUGGAGCCAUUAGUUCUCCACCCAUAAGAUACAUGUUGAAGUGGGUAUACUAUAAAGUCCUUUCCAAUAUCCGGGACCUAUAACUCUGUGAUCACAAACUGCAGGAAAGGCAGUGGCCUGUCAGGGUGGUCCUUCCAGGCGCCUUCUUUUAACAGAAUAUUGGUCUAGAGAGGUGACUGAGCAGUUAAGGGUACUCGAUGCUCUUGCAGGGGACUCGGGUUGGAUUGCCAGUACCCUGUGGUGGUUCACAACCCUCUGUAAGUCAAGUUCCAGGGGAUCCCUCCGCCCUGUGCUGAGCGCUUCAGGGGCCAGACAGAAGCUAGUUAUCUGGGAAGAGGAAGCACGGUUAAGAAAAUGCCUCCGUCCACAUUGUCUGUAGGCAAUGUGUGGUGUGUUUUCUUGGUUAACCGGUGACGUGGCUGGGCAGGUGGUCCUGAGUUGCAUAAGAAAGCAGAUGGUGCAAGCCUUGCAGAGAAGCCAGUGAGUAGCAUUGCUCCAUGGUCUCCGCUUAAGUUUUGCCUCUGGGUUCCUGCCUUGAGUUCCUGCCCUGACUUCCCUCAGUGAUGGACAGUUAUAUGGAAGCUUAAGACGAAAUAAACCCUUUCCUCCUCAAAUUGUUUUUGGUCAUGGUGUUUUAUCACAGCAAUAGAAACCUAAGACAAUCUUUAAAAAAAUGUGCAAUGAAGUUUGCAUUCUGAUUAAAAUUGAAAGUCUAACUUUUGAUAUGGCCCCAAACAUAUUUUCAUCCUAUACUAUGUAUUUAUGAAAACUGGCAUUAUUGAUUAUAAAACCAAAUGCAGCCAACAGUGAAGAAUGUUGAAGAUGUAGUCUGGGAAGAGAGCUUAGCUGGCAAAGCGCUUACUGUGCAUGCAGAAGGGUCUGAGGCAAUACUCAGAACUCGUGCUAAAAAGUUGGGCAUGGAGCCGGGCGGUCGUGGCGCAAGCCUUUAAUCCCAGCACUCAGGAGGCAGAGGCAGGUGGAUCUCUGAGUUCAAGACCAGCCUAGUCUACAGAGAGAGUUCCAGGACAGUCAGGGCUAAGUAGAGAAACCCUAUCUCUAAAAAACAAUAAUAAUUUAAUAAUAAUAAUAAUAAUAACAAAUACAUGCUACCAUGCCCUACUUUUUCUGCAGAGAUUGGCAGAUCCCUAGGAUGCUUGGCCAACCAGCCUAGCUACCUGUCCUGGCUUCCAGCACCGGCCUUGUCCCACUGGCAUCAGCCUACAUGAACUCUGACACCUGGGGUUUCUUCACUGUGCGGGACUUUGGUUGAUAAAACAGCGGCUUCUUCCAUGCUGCCUCUACUGCCCAGAACUGUCUUUUACAGUAAGAGUGUGUCAGGUUAGGUUCUCUAGAGAGUUUUCUCUCCAGGUAGGAACUCAGCUACUCAGAGUUAUUUUCCUAAUAUAGUUGAACCACUAGAGGGGAGCAGUGACAUUCCCCGUUGCGCCUUGAUCUUAGGAUAGUAGGGUCAGAUGGGCUUUAGGGACCCUGGGCAAACUUCUCCCAUCUGAUAAACUAAGGAACAGAGUGGAAGCAGGAAAGGAAAGCUUUUCCUAUGGCUACAGAGUAGUCAGUUACAAAACCAAGACACACAAUUGGAUGGUAGCUCAGCCACCUGCCUUAGAGAAGCAGAGGGGAGGCUUAAUUGUGAAAAACAAGUGAAUGACAUUUAAAUAAAAAUAAAAACAGGAAGGAGACAGACUCCAGCAAGCACAAAUAAAUGUCUCUAAAGAAACUGGCCAGAGAGAGAGCAUUGGCUCUUGCCCCCCACACCCCUGGGAUUCCACAUGUAGCACACUCAUCCAGCCUCCGCGUCUCGGAGGGGGUCCAACAGGUUAUAUGGAUACGGCUCACAUGUCACAAAGCCAAUUAACUCAUCCCAAAGUCCCUGGCUGCCAAUGUUUAUAUCUAAGUGUAUUUAAUGGUUUAUACAUGAGCACGUGUCGGUGGAGAGAGGAGAGGUAUGUGGUAAUGGAGGUUUUGCUGAGCCUCUCAACUCUUCUGGAAAACAAGAUGUAGCAGCCUGUGAUGGCCAUUGCCUUUUUUCAUUGGUGUUAACUUCCUGUCACCCCUUUGCCAGUAUCUACCCCCUCCCUACCACUCACCAGCAUGGGCCGGUGGUAAUGCUGGCUAACCAUAGCUCCCCCAUUCCUCCCUGACAGAGCCAUGGUUUAGGGGAGGGUGUGAACUUCAGGUGGGCCAAUGAUCGGCCUCUUUAGAGUCUUUGAACUCCUAAUCCUCCUGCUUCCAUCUCCCAAGUGCUAAGAUUACAGGUGUGUGCCAGCAUGCUCAGCUGAGAAGUCUUGCUUAAAGGGUAUACAAGAGAGCUCUGAAGAGACCCAGAGAGAUGAUCCAGGCAGAGGACAGACCCCACGCUCCAUUCCGUCUACCCUGGAGCCUGGAGUACCUCCCGAAUUCUCCUCGUUGCCCUGAGUUAUGCCGCCUAAUAACAAGUCCCCUUUUUUUCCUUCAGAUAUAAUUUGACCUGGAUGUUUGUCAGUCACAAUGAAGAAUUCUGUCAUAAUUCUAUAGACUGUUGUGGGAACACCAGACCUUGAGCAGAGACCCACUUCCCCUUCUGCCUGGGAGUAGGCAGCUGUAAGACAAUGUUUACUAAAAACAAUACAAUGCCUGGGGGCAUUAAGUUCCUGGAAAAG